UAUACACUGUAAAAAAUAAAAUGACCAUUUGUUCAGAAAACAGUUUUUUUUUAGUUACAGAUAAUUGGAAUUGUGAAUAUUGUGAGUCUAUGUAAAAAUCCAUGUUAGUCCAACAAUAUGUAGCAAAAUGUUGUAGCAACGUCCUUAACCAAGUUAUAUGAACAUACAUUUUAUAAUUGAGUUGCGCGCGCAUGCAUCUACGGGGUUUCCUUUCUCAUUAUCAGCCUCGCCACGUUUUCUGGCUGCCAUUUUGGACUUGGAGCAGGGAGAAACAGUUUCAGGUGAGUAAUUAACGUUAAUUAAUUUUAAGCACUUGAAAUGAAAAGCUUUUUCUUUUUACAAACAAUGUAUUUCAUUAGUGAUGCAAAUAUGUUUGCGCAGUGGAAGCAUAGUUUUCAUAAAGACUUAUUGUGGCAGGUAAUUAUCAUUUUCACUUAAAAGUUGUAAUGUUGACAUACUUAUAUUUAUCUUUGAAAUUUAAAAUUAGAUGUAAGGUUAAAUAUUGAAAUUGAAUAUGAACUAGUGAUUCGGAAUCAAUAACGCAAUCCAAUCAGGACCUCGAAGCAAAUUAUAUAUUAACUUUACGCGGUUAUAUUAGCGUACUUAAUGAAAAUAUGGUUUAAGCAAAAAAUGUCCAGAGUUAAUAUUGAUGGCUUUUUGUUAGGCUAUUGAUAAUGUGGUGCUAUUGUAAUGUUUAAGAGGAAGUGGUUGUACUCCGUAUUAACGAAUUUAAAUAUAUUUUUCAUAGUGUUAAACCGGAUUUUUGAUGUGUUUGACUUUUACUACGCUGUACGGCAAUACUGAUUCUAGAACAGUCUGCUGUGUAUGCUCUCGCUGUACUUUGACGUCAUACGCCGUUCAGUCUGCGUAGCGCUCUAUGCAUAUUAUGUAUUUUCAAUCUAUCCGUCGUACCUGUGCCUUGUCGACAUCACACGAAACCCACGUCGUAAUCAACCUCUUUCCAAAGUCUGGAAAAAGCAGUUUACAUUAACAACUUCGAGAUGAAUGCGACUAUCGGACUAUCACGUGGGUUUGUUGUGUGUGUGACCGAAGCGCCAUUUGGAAGGCAUCGUAAAUUCACUGACUACGCAAUAAAUAAGACUACUCGCGAAAAGAAGUCGGAUUUGUUCCUUCAGCUUCGUACUUAAACUUGUAAGCUCUUGUUUAUGGUAUGUACAUGAACAAUUACCAAAACUAUAAAUCUGCUGAAUUCUGUAAACAUUUCACCAAUGACUGGGUAUAGGAUUUAUUUACAUUUUCACCAAACGGUAAUUUUCUGUACAUGUUUUUCUCUGAAGCAUGCUGUGUUCCACGGUGAACACACUACAGUGCUAUUUGCUAUACUUGCUUAAUUAUCAGUAUAUAAAAUUACUGACAAUAUAUUUUGUCUCUGUGUAUCAAUGCACACUAUAGUUAGCACUUUUGUAAUUAGUUGUCACCAAAUGACUACUUUGCCUUAAGCAGUAAACCUUAACCCAUUUGGUUUCCUUGGUGAAUGUAAGACAAUAAAGUAUAAAUAAAUUGGAACUAGAUUAUUAUCAUGUGAACAUGAUUUUAAACAGUUUGAAAUUAGUUAAAAAUGCUGAAGAAUAUUACCAUAUUGAGUGCAAUAUAUUGUCAAAUUAGUUUUUUUUCAUGUGUUUUCAAAUACGUUUGUAACUCAUGCAUUUUUUUCUAUUUUCCAGGAUUAUGAAAAUACUUGCCUGAUGGCUUUACUACUGUGAGUUGUCAUUUCUUUAACCGAUGCCCGACUUCAGCUUUUUGAAGUGCCACAGUCUGUCGAGUCCCUUAUUAGUAUUCUGAAGGAUAAACUGCAGUUACAAGGACAGUUCAUCUUGCAAUUUCAGGACCCUGAUUUUGGGAAUGCCCUUUGCAGCCUGACUGACAUCUCGGAACAGCCCAAUGAAAAAGCAGUCUUGCAUAUUCCCGGAACAUCCAUGCAACCACACAGAUGCUUCACUUGAAGAACAAAAACUUUUAUUGAUUGAUGAAACAAAAAAGGCAAGAAGCAACAUGGUGAUCAUACGUGAAAAAAUGGAAUUAACUUUUUCCCUGAGGAGAAAAGAAGUGGUAGAAGAUCAACCAAUGGUUGUAGACUUGCAGCAGAGGUGGCCUGCACUUUUUCUCCAGGAACAGAUUGCUGAGGAAUUCUUCAGAAUCCCGGAUAAAGACCUUCUUGAUGUCUUCAGGGCAGCAAUGGACCGAUUUACAACAAAGCUCUUGAAAGUAUACAGAGCUCGAAAAGCUGCAUUUGGAGAGGAUAUGGAACAGCUCCUAGAAAGACUUGAUGAAAGGAUGACCGAUAUUGUUAAUCACAGAAGGACUACUGCUUUGAAAGGCCUGCCUUUGUUUCUUUGAGAGGACCCAAACAAGCUGUUCAAGACAUGCAAAGACAACGAAGAUGGGGCAAAAGGAGUGUCUAUUGCCAUUCUGUGUUUUGGAAGAUGAGACCCAGGGACCAUCACCAGAGGUUGUAAACAUUGCUGUUGUGUUGGAGCAGGUCGUCGUUUUGAAAGAUCUCCCAGAUAUUUCUACUGCUCUUGCAUACCUUUUUGGCCUUCUGUAUGCAUUAAACAUGUCCUAUCCUCAAGCUCUUAAGUACACUUUUGACACCAUUCAGAAUGUUUUCAUGGAGCUGGGAUCUGGAUGCACCAAACGUGUACUUUCUCUGAAGAACAAACUGUUGUAAAGAAAAUCAGAACCGUGUUUUUGGAUUCUUUUUGAUGUUCAUUUGUUUUAAGACCUAAAGUUCGCUUGGAUACAAGGUCUGGGGAUUCUUAGUUGGCAUCUCUAUUUCUUGUUACAGAUGUCAAACUGUUCCAAAUGCACCAAACGUGUGCUUUCUCUGAAGAACAAACUGUUGUAAAGAAAAUCAGAACAGUGUUUUGGGAUCCUUUUUGGGAUUCAUUUGUUAAUAGACCUAAAGUGCAGCUUGGAUACAACGUGAUUCUUUAAGGUGACAUCUAUUUUGCUUGUCAUAAGAUGCAUAAGACUGUUCUUAAAGAGUAACUAAACCCUAAACCAACUUUUUUUAGUUAAUGAUCUGUAAGAAUGAUGCUUUAUUAGUGCUGCUCAUUGAUUUUAGUAAGUUUUUUGACAUUUGGAUAUAAAGUGUUUCAAUACUGCAAUAUAUAGUGUAAAAACAUCUGAGUGCUGCCCUCUUCAGGUUGAACGGUGGCUACUGCAGUUAAAUUUUCCUAUUGGAUGUUGGGUUCAAAAAAUUACUCGUGACGUAAACAGAUUCAAGCUCACCACGCCCUUGUUACGAUCUCAACACACACUUGGUACGAGCUUUAGUUCGUCAUCUCUAUCUCCGUUGGGAUCUGCCCACUUUUCUUGCAUUUUUCAAAUAUUGCCAGUGGGUGGAGUCACGCUCUGACCAGGGGUUUAGUUACCCUUUAAAGUGUAUAUAAUUGUAAUUUUGUAUUACAUCAUACCAUACCAGGUUAGUGGUUUCAGUAAGCAUGUCUGCUCUUAUAACUGGUUGUUUAAAAUUGAAAUUGUUAAAGGGAUAGUUUAUCCAAAAAUGAAAACUGUCACAUUUUGUCACUCUUAUUUUUUUACAAAUGUCUUCAUUUUGAGGAACAGGAAGAAAGAUGCUUUGAGGAAUGUUUGUAAACAAACCGUUCAUGAGCCUCAUUCAUUUUCAUAGUAGGAAAAAAUAAUACUUUAGAAAUGAAUGGGGCUCAUGAUCUGUUUUUAGGGCUCAUGAUCUGUUUGGUUACAAACAUUCCUCAAAAUAUCUUAUGUUCAUCAAAUCAAAUACAUUUAUACAGGUUUGUAACAACAUGGGAGUAAGAAAAUGACACAAUUUUCAUUUUUGGGUGAACUAUCCUUUUAAAUAAAACUGUACAAGUGUUUUAAAUGUUGGUUUAAAUGGGGUAAUUUGAAAAGGUUUAGAUUACAGAACAUGUCAAGGCAUUAAAAACACUAUUGUUGGAUAAAAAAAAAAUCCUAAAUUGAUACAAGUUUUAUGCUGUUACAGUUAAGUGAUUGUCUGUAUGCUUCGUGUAUGCAAAAUUUAAGUUCCUACUGAAGACGGAAUCUAGACUUUUUAAAGUGCAGCUGCUGUGUCACAACUUAAAAAAAAAAGUUAAAUGUUGUGAAGAGUUUGGGGUUGUGUAGCAUCUUAUUUCUAAUUGAAAUAAAUUAUGCUAAAAAGAAUUGUUUUUGACCUGUCUUUAUUUUGCCAAUUGAACAUUUCUCAUCCACAAAACAUAAAAAAGCUAAUUAACUGAACAACAGCAAUUGCGGUGACAUAAAUAUCAUUAUUAGGAAAAUUUAAAAAUCAAAAUUGCAUAAACAAGCAAGUGUUAGUUGGCAAACAUGCAUAAUAAUUUUGCUAAUUGAAAAUUCUUCAUCCACAGAACAUAAAAAAGCUAAUUAACUGAACAACAGUAAUUGGUGUAAAACAAAAAUCUUAAUUAGGAAAAUAAGAAAAUCAGAAUUGCAAAAACAAGCAAGUGUUAGUUGGCUGAACAUCUUAUUAUUACUAUGUGUAAUUAUUUAAAAUACAUUGAGACAACGCAAAAGUCUUAAUGCAUCAGGUUGACUCACUUUUUUACGUUUUCGCAGCAAUUUUUUUUUUA